rnacentral:rRNA from 1 species
UACGAAGGGGGCUAGCGUUGCUCGGAAUUACUGGGCGUAAAGCGCACGUAGGCGGCUUCUUAAGUCGGUGGUGAAAUCCUGGAGCUCAACUCCAGAACUGCCUUCGAUACUGGGAGCUCGAGUCCGGGAGAGGUGAGUGGAACUGCGAGUGUAGAGGUGAAAUUCGUAGAUAUUCGCAAGAACACCAGUGGCGAAGGCGGCUCACUGGCCCGGUACUGACGCUGAGGUGCGAAAGCGUGGGGAGCGAACGAGGA